GAGGGUAUAGCUCAGUGGUAGGGCGCAUGCGUAGCUCACAUCAGGUCCUGGGUUCAAUUCCCAGUACCUCUG
rnacentral:tRNA from 1 species